rnacentral:rRNA from 1 species
CCUACGGGUGGCAGCAGUGGGGAAUAUUGCUCAAUGGGGGAAACCCUGAUGCAGCGACGCCGCGUGAGGGAAGAAGGUUUUCGGAUUGUAAACCCCUUUUGUUAGGGAAGAAAAUGACGGUACCUGACGAAUAAGCACCGGCUAACUACGUGCCAGCAGCCGCGGUAAUACGGAGGGUGCAAGCGUUAUACGGAAUUACUGGGCGUAAAGAGGGCGUAGGCGGGAUAACAAGUCAGAUGUGAAAUGCUGGGGCUUAACCCUAGAACUGCAUUUGAAACUGUUCUGCUAGAGUGUGGGAGAGGUAGGUGGAAUGCUUGGUGUAGCGGUAAAAUGCGUAGAGAUCAAGAGGAAUACUGAUGGCGAAGGCGGCUUACUGGACCAUAACUGACGCUGAUGCGCGAAAGCGUGGGGAGCAAACAGGAUUAGAUACCCGUGUAGUC